rnacentral:lncRNA from 1 species
UCCCAACAUAAGCCACGCAACAUCGGGUUCAUGGGUGGCACACGGGAACAACAUCAUUCGACUUUUGUCAUAGUGUAUGAGGCAUUUUGUGCUGACGGAUGGUUGGGAUUGGAUUUUGCACAGGAUCGGAUGGCCUAAAUUACUCUGUCCCAUAUCAAGUGAUGGUGGCCCACUCCAUCUGUGUGAUCCGAUGGCCCAAAUUGGUUUGAAGUGAGAUCGGAUGGCUCGUGUUUGUUGCCAGCUGAGAACUAAACAAACAAGGCUUUAUUUUUGUACUAUCUAACAGAUGGAAUUCGAUCUGAUGCAAGAUCGGAUGGCUGACAGUGAUGCCAACUUUGAUAAGGCCUGAUGCAAUGAUUCUUGGUG